GACGUAGGGCGCGAGCGUUGUCCGGAUUUAUUGGGCGUAAAGAGCUCGUAGGCGGUCUGUCGCGUCUGCCGUGAAAACCCGAGGCUUAACCUCGUGGCUUGCGGUGGAUACGGGCAGACUAGAGGUAGGUAGGGGAGAAUGGAAUUCCUGGUGUAGCGGUGGAAUGCGCAGAUAUCAGGAGGAACACCGAUGGCGAAGGCAGAUCUCUGGGCCGUAACUGACGCUGAGGAGCGAAAGCAUGGGGAGCGAACAGG
rnacentral:rRNA from 1 species